rnacentral:rRNA from 1 species
GCCUACGGGGGGCAGCAGUGGGGGAUAUUGCACAAUGGGGGAAACCCUGAUGCAGCGACGCCGCGUGAGUGAAGAAGUAUUUCGGUAUGUAAAGCUCUAUCAGCAGGGAAGAAAAAAGACGGUACCUGACUAAGAAGCCCCGGCUAACUACGUGCCAGCAGCCGCGGUAAUACGUAGGGGGCAAGCGUUAUCCGGAUUUACUGGGUGUAAAGGGAGCGUAGACGGCGAUACAAGUCUGAAGUGAAAGCCCGGGGCUCAACCCCGGGAUUGCUUUGGAAACUGUGUUGCUGGAGUGCUGGAAGGGC